CCCUUAGAUGCUCUGGGCCGCACGCGCGCUACACUGGUCGAUGCAACGAGUUUCUUUCCUUGGCCGACAGGCCUGGGCAAUCUUUGAACAUCGAUCGUGAUCGGGAUAGAUUCUUGUAGUUUUUGAUCUUAAACGAGGAAUUCCUAGUAAACGCAAGUCAUCAGCUUGCAUUGAUUACGUCCCUGCCCUUUGUACACACCGCCCGUCGCACCUACCGAUUGAAUGGUCCGGUGAAAUCUCCGGACUGGCGUGAGUCGGAGCAAUCUGACAAACGCCGGAAAGUUGAUUAAACCUUACCAUUUAGAGGAAGGUGAAGUCGUAACA
rnacentral:rRNA from 1 species